GAUUAUUUUUAUUUGAACGUGAGGUCUACUCAAGCACGUCGUAUUUAAAGUGUAAUUGCGUUCACCAAGCAAUUAAGUAAGCAGUAAUUUAGUCGCAAUUACCUAUAUUAGACGGAUAGCUGUAUUAUUGACAUUCCUCACAAACUGGAAAGGAUUGGGCUCGGAUUUGUGGGGACGGAGUCUCAUAGAGACUCCGGUUUACGGGAUACCUCAUUAUUACGGUUGGAAAUUGGCUAA